CGGGCGCUGAGCUGCAGGCGCGCGCCUAACGGCUUCGCGGGCUGAGAGGUCAGAGGCUGCGAGUGUCGCUGCUGAAGGCUGUGGUGGACCCGGCCGGGUCGCGGAUUCUGAGCUACAUCUCGGGUUUGGGGUUAGGGUUAGUGGAAAGGCCACGAGGAGCCGCGGGGGCUCAGGAGCCGGUGGUGGGCGUCUGAGGAGAAGUCGCCCCAUGAGGAAGCUCUUCAGCUUCGGGAGACGCCCGGGCCGGGCGGUCCUGGGCUCCAUCGACCACGAGUACCCGGGUCCCGCGUACCACACCAGGGACGCGGAACUGCGGAAGAUCCACAGGGCGGCCCUCAAGGGCGACGCCGCGGAGGUGGAGCGCCGCCUGGCGCGCAGGUGCCGGGACGUGGAUGCCCAGGACAGGACUGUUCUACAUUUGGCCUGUGCCCACGGCCGUGUGCAAGUGGUCACUCUCUUGCUGAGCAGAAAAUGUCAGAUCGACAUCUGUGACAGACUAAACAGGACGCCUUUAAUGAAGGCUGUAUAUUGCCAGGAAGAGACGUGUUCCAUUAUUCUGCUGGAACAUGGCACCAGUCCAAACAUUAAGGACGUCUACAGCAACACUGCUCUUCAUGAUGGUAAACAUUGAGGAUGUCUACGGCAACACUGCUCUUCAUGAUGCUGUCUAUGAUAAGGGGACUUCACUGGCAGGAAGCCUGCUUUCCCACCAUGCAAAUACUGAAGCACUAAACAAGAAACAACAGCUAUGAAGCCUGCAAAUUUGUAAAAAGGAGAAGAAGGUGCAAAAGAACACGACUUAAAAGUGGCUUCAGAGGAAAAGCAAGAAACGCUUGAAAGAAGUGAAAAUAAACAGCCAGAGAUUUUCAAAGUUAUAGAAAAAAGAAGGAUGUGAUAUAUACAAAUUGCAUAUUGAAGGGAGAUAUUGCCACACUCAAACAGGAAUAAUACACAAUAAAAAAUGACAGUGUCAAAAAGGAAAAGGAAUAUAUUCAGGAAAUUAAGAGUAUUAGAGAAAUAAAUGCUAACUUUGAAAAAAGUGCAAGACUCAAUGAGGAAAUGACAACAAAAACGAUGUCCCAGUAUUGUCAACAGCUUAAUGGCCUCAAAGCUGAGAAUACAAGGCUGAAUUCAAAAUUGGAGAAGGAAGAACACCACACAGAUGGACUGGAAGCUGAAGUUGAAUUCUUCCAUUCUAGGCUGGCUGCUGCUAUAAAUGAGCACAAUGAAAGUUUAGAAACGAAAGACCUAGAACUUGUUUUACAGAGAGCACAUAAUUUUUCCGUACAUAAAAAAAUAAGUUCUACUGUUUCUCAACUAAAAGAUAAAAAUGAGUUGCUUACUGAACAAUUUUCUAAAGCUCAGAUGAAGUUCAAUACCUUAAAAGGUAAGCUCCAUGAGAUAAGAGAUGCUCUCAGGGAAAAGACAUUGGCUUUAGAAAGUGUACAGAUGGACCAAAGGCAAGCACAGCAUCGAAUAAAGGAAAUGGAGCAGAUUCAUCCAAAUGAGGAAACUAAAGGAGUCGAUCCACCGGAAAGCACAACUGUGUAGAGGAGAGACUAUGUCAACUAGAAUGUGACAGUCUCUUGCUUCAACGACAACUAGAGGGUGCUCAUAAGGAAGGCAAUGAUAAAGAGAUAGUAAUUAAUAUCCAAGGAGGCUGUCUUGAGAGUGGAAAGAUCUUCUAGAAGAGAAAAAUAAGAAACUAAUGAAUGAAUAUAAUUCUAUAAAAGAAAAACUGUUUCAGUAUGUAAAAGAAGAAGGAGAAGUAAGUAUGAAGAAAGAUAAAUAUAUUUAACCUUCCAGAAAGAAAAUUUAAACAUUUCAUUGUGGCUAUAUGUUGAAUCUAGUUCAAUAUAAUAAUAAAUAGAUGAAAAUGUAUUUACCAUACUGUAUAAUUCCAUUAACAUGAAACAUCCAGAAAAGACAUGUAUAGGGACAGAAAGAAGAUGAAUGUUUCUGUAGGGCUGGGGCUGGAAAUGGGUCGUGACUGCUGAUGGGCAUGAGGGAUCAUCCUGGAGUGAUGAAAAUGUUCUAAAGCUGGAUUGUAAAGAUGACUGCACGACUGGUAAAUUUACUAAAAAUCUUUGAACUGUAUGUUAAAACAGAUAAAUUCUGUAGUAUGUAAAUCAUAUUUUAGCAAAGCUGUUUUAAUAAAAAAACAAAAAAAA
ensembl:lncRNA ANKRD18DP ankyrin repeat domain 18D, pseudogene